UGAUGUGGUUUAAUUCGAUGCAACGCGAAAAACCUUACCCACCUUUGACAUGGCAGGAACUUACCAGAGAUGGUUUGGUGCUCGAAAGAGAACCUGCACACAGGUGCUGCAUGGCUGUCGUCAGCUCGUGUCGUGAGAUGUUGGGUUAAGUCCCGCAACGAGCGCAACCCUUGCCGUUAGUUGCUACAUUCAGUUGAGCACCCUAAUGGGACUGCCGGUGACAAACCGGAGGAAGGUGGGGAUGACGUCAAGUCCUCAUGGCCCUUAUAGGUGGGGCUACACACGUCAUACAAUGGCUGGUACAAAGGGUUGCCAACCCGCGAGGGGGAGCUAAUCCCAUAAAGCCAGUCGUAGUCCGGAUCGCAGUCUGCAACUUUACUGCGUGAAGUCGGAAUCGCUAGUAAUCGUGGAUCAGAAUGUCACGGUGAAUACGUUCCCGGGUCUUGUACACACCGCCCGUCUCACCAUGGGAGCGGGUCUCGCCAGAAGUAGGUAGCCUAACCGCAAGGAGGGCGCUUACCACGGCGGGGUUCGUGACUGGGGUGAAGUAGUAACAAGGUAACCGUAAAGGG
rnacentral:rRNA from 1 species